AUAUCGAAUAAGCAGGAGGAACCUUUUAAAUCAUGAAGUAUUCCAGUGACGGUUCUGUUGACACUGCACAUGAGGAGACCAAGGAUCAAGACUCUGUUCCCAGGUGGAGACAUUAAUAUUUCAGCUGGAGAAAUCAUGUCUGUAACACAGAGUGUUGAUCCUGAUCCCAGCAAAACUCCUGUCCAGUUCUCAGACUUCUACACUUUUCAGUCAAUAAAGACCUACAUAUUAAUGGAAA